ACCCGCACGAAAGGCGUAACGAUUUGGGCACUGUCUCAACGAGAGACUCGGUGAAAUCAUAGUACCUGUGAAGAUGC
rnacentral:rRNA from 1 species